GCGGAUUGGAACGUCUUUCCGCGUUCCUAGGCAUGUUCGCUGGGUUGGGGCAGAAUCCAGCGCUGUGAUUAAGACCAUGGACUCUGGAGCCCAGCAGAACCAGGUGCAAAUCCCAACUUUCCAGCUGUGUGACUUCAGUUCUGGAGGCUGGGACAUCCAGGAUCACAGUGCCGGCAGAUUCUCUCCUUGCCGCUAAGAUGGGAUGAGCGCAGCACAGGAAAGACUCACUGAGUCCCUACGGACCCCAAGAGGAGGACCACGAGUGCACUUGCUUCACAAGGAGGAGGCUGAGGCUGGGGGAGUGAAGUGAGUUGCCUCAGCUUCCAGGUGACAGAAGUGGACUUGAACUCAUGCUCUGUGACCCAGUGCCCAGCAGGCCUCACAGCACCCACCGAGGGCCCUUUCCUUAGACCCCUCUGUCCUCACCCCACAGCCACCACGCCCUCCACUCCAGGCGCCAGGAGUUAGAAUGGGCCUUCCCACGAACACUCCAUCCUAUGCUGUGAGAGCCUGCAGAGCUGCAGGGGUGGGGCCCAGCUCUCCCGUGGUCUGCUCAUCAGUCCUGCUGUGGGCUCACUGAGGCCCAGACCUGCCAGUUGGCCUUAGACAGAGGAUGAGAGGCACCCAGUGACCAG
rnacentral:lncRNA from 1 species